CCUACGGGAGGCAGCAGUGGGGAAUCUUGCGCAAUGGGCGAAAGCCUGACGCAGCCAUGCCGCGUGAAUGAUGAAGGUCUUAGGAUUGUAAAAUUCUUUCACCGGGGACGAUAAUGACGGUACCCGGAGAAGAAGCCCCGGCUAACUUCGUGCCAGCAGCCGCGGUAAUACGAAGGGGGCUAGCGUUGCUCGGAAUUACUGGGCGUAAAGGGAGCGUAGGCGGACAUUUAAGUCAGGGGUGAAAUCCCAGAGCUCAACUCUGGAACUGCCUUUGAUACUGGGUGUCUUGAGUGUGAUAGAGGUAUGUGGAACUCCGAGUGUAGAGGUGAAAUUCGUAGAUAUUCGGAAGAACACCAGUGGCGAAGGCGACAUACUGGAUCAUUACUGACGCUGAGGCUCGAAAGCGUGGGGAGCAAACAGGAUUAGAUACCCUGGUAGUCCACGCCGUAAACGAUGAUUGCUAGUUGUUGGGAUGUUUACAUCUCGGUGACGCAGCUAACGCAUUAAGCAAUCCGCCUGGGGAGUACAGUCGCAAGAUUAAAACUUAAAGGAAUUGACGG
rnacentral:rRNA from 1 species